GAGGGUAUAGCUCAGUGGUAGAGUGCGCACUUGGCACACACGAGGACCCGGGUUCAAUCCCCAGUACCUCCA
rnacentral:tRNA from 1 species